CCCGGAGGCGUUGUCGCUGCGCGAGAUGCAGCAGGCACCCGGCCUCCAGGCCUCUCCAGCGACUUCAGCGCAAAGGAGAGCGCGCUGGCACCUCACUGCAGCCCAGGCUCUACCCCAAAGCUGCAGGUAACCUCGGGAAGGUUCCCGGGUUCAGCACCAAACCCGUACUGCUGGUCACCGCCCUUCCCACGGCAGCACGGCCGCCUGCCAGCAGCGGGCACAGCGCGGCCGCCAGCCUGGGGAGCACCCGAGGGGCACGGCCCCAGGCUGGGUGCUGACGUGGCCGUUUCACCGCUAAGAGCCCAGCCUUCAGCCUGCGAGCCUCCCUGCUCAGCUCUGCUCCCCUGCCCACCCUUCCCUCGCGCCUGCCGGUCACCGAGCCCAGCUGCCACACGCCCUGCCCCUGUGCACGGUCACCGCUUUGUCACGGCAUUAACCACGAACCAGGAGCCUGGGUGCAACCCUCAGAUCCUUGCACACGCCAGAUUAAUUAGCGAGAUCAAAUCUGAGCUCAAUUACCAGGCAUGGAGAGCGCUGCUCGUGCCACCUCCCUGCUGCAGGGCACAGCACGGCUCCGCUGCUCCCCGGGGGGGACGGGCACGGCUGAGAGCUCCCCACACCGCAUCCCGCCAGCACAGUGCCUGCCACGUGCCGUCUGUGAGUAUCCAGCGGCCCCAGCACUGUGCCCGGCCUCGCUGUGCAUCCUGCUCGAGGGCAAACAGAAAGGGAUGCCCCUCGCCCCUCCAGGCGCCAGGGGCAGGGCAGCCUGGGGCAGCCCGCGCGACGUACCUUACAGCGUGGAGCUGAGUGUUUCCCUGUUACGAUCAACAACGUGAUAGUGUUACACCACGAUGGGGCCUCAAAGCAACCAAAACCCACGGGAACAAUGGUCUGAGCUCCCAGGCAGUCUGCAUGGUGCCCAUCACAGCAUCGUCCCAGUUCCUCGGACACCCCGCUGCUGCUCCUCACCUUGUAAACAGAAACCCCUUAGGGAGAGCGGCUCUCUGCUAAGCUGACAAAGCCCAAG
rnacentral:lncRNA from 1 species